UUCCAGACUCCUACGGGAGGCAGCAGUAGGGAAUCUUUCACAAUGGGCGAAAGCCUGAUGGAGCAACGCCGCGUGCAGGAUGAAGGCCUUCGGGUUGUAAACUGCUUUUAUAAGCGAGAAAUAUGAUGGUAACUUAUGAAUAAGGAUCGGCUAACUACGUGCCAGCAGCCGCGGUAAUACGUAGGGGGCAAGCGUUAUCCGGAUUUACUGGGUGUAAAGGGGGCGCAGACGGCGAUGCAAGCCAGGAGUGAAAGCCCGGGGCCCAACCCCGGGACUGCUCUUGGAACUGCGUGGCUAGAGUGCAGGAGGGGCAGGCGGAAUUCCUGGUGUAGCGGUGAAAUGCGUAGAUAUCAGGAGGAACACCGGUGGCGAAGGCAGCGCACCGGCGCCCUACUGACGCUCAGGCACGAAAGCGUGGGUAUCGAACAGGAUUAGAUACCCCCGUAGC
rnacentral:rRNA from 1 species